rnacentral:lncRNA from 1 species
CUUACAUGGCCAGAGGGUUUCAAUUUGAGCUCCAAAUAAUAAUAAUAAAUUCCAUAAAGUGAUUCCAUGUGGAGAGGGGAGAUAAUCGUGCUUUAUGUUUACACAGUAGGGCCCACAAGAGUUUGGGUCAGGCAGAACACAGAGUGGUGUCUCACCUGCAGCUCGUCCUGGGGCUGAUGUGCCGCACCUGUUCUGCAGUAACAGCACAAAGAAGAUGGCGAGGGGAGAGCUGCUCUGGUUGGAGCUGGUGGGUUAGGGCUAAGUAGAGAGAGGAGAUGUGGUUUUCUGUGCUGAGUUGUAGCUGGGAUGCUGAAGUUAAACAUCUGGUUAAUUGAUAAAAAGAGCUACAGCAGCCCUGUACUUGUUACAGCCAUGCUGGGACACAGGAGCCUGGGUCUCCAUUAUGAUUACACUGCAGUGAGUGCCAAAGACUGUGCCUGGAAAUUGGAUCAGCUGAGCUUUGAACAGUAUCUGCUGCUUUUCCCACCGAAUCAGAAGCCAGCCUACCUCUGCAGAGCUUCACCGCCAUGCUCAGACCCAGGUGCAGCCCAGACAACACUGAAACCCUGGAAAUCUGCUGGCAGUGAGAAACGCGCAUCUCCUUCCCCCUCUGUGCUGUGGUUCUGUUUACCCGAGGUGCAGAUGAUUACCUGGUUUUACCCACAAUACCCAAGCAAAAUGAUUCUGCACUUUGGAAGGACACCUGGCUGCUCACCUCAGCACAUCCUGAUGCUGCUGCUUAUCAGGAAAAAAAACAGCUCAGUAAGUUCUCCUUGCUGCAAUAUUUUUGGUUGAGGCCUCUUUGAAGAUGCUCCUGAAAUCAUGAGAUCACCACAGCCCACCUUAUCUGGAGUGGAUAAAGGCAAGCAUCUGGUGCAAGUGGUAUUGAAACUCUCUUCCAAGGUAUGAUUGAAAAACUUCAGACACCCAGCCUCAAGGUACAGCAGG